CCUACGGGCGGCUGCAGUGAGGAAUAUUGGUCAAUGGGCUUACGCCUGAACCAGCCAAGUCGCGUGAGGGAAGACUGCCCUAUGGGUUGUAAACCUCUUUUGUCAGGGAGCAACGCCGGCUACGUGUAGCCGGACUGAGAGUACCUGAAGAAAAAGCAUCGGCUAACUCCGUGCCAGCAGCCGCGGUAAUACGGAGGAUGCGAGCGUUAUCCGGAUUUAUUGGGUUUAAAGGGUGCGUAGGCGGAAUGCCAAGUCAGCGGUAAAAUCGCGGGGCUCAACCUCGCUCCGCCGUUGAAACUGGCGUUCUUGAGUGGGCGAGAGGUAUGCGGAAUGCGUGGUGUAGCGGUGAAAUGCAUAGAUAUCACGCAGAACUCCGAUUGCGAAGGCAGCAUACCGGCGCCCAACUGACGCUGAAGCACGAAAGCGUGGGGAUCGAACAGGAUUAGAUACCCCAGUAGUC
rnacentral:rRNA from 1 species